GACGAACGCUGGCGGCGUGCUUAACACAUGCAAGUCGAACGGAAAGGCCCUGCUUUUGUGGGGUGCUCGAGUGGCGAACGGGUGAGUAACACGUGAGUAACCUGCCCUUGACUUUGGGAUAACUUCAGGAAACUGGGGCUAAUACCGGAUAGGAGCUCCUGCUGCAUGGUGGGGGUUCGAAAGUUUCGGCGGUUGGGGAUGGACUCGCGGCUUAUCAGCUUGUUGGUGGGGUAGUGGCUUACCAAGGCUUUGACGGGUAGCCGGCCUGAGAGGGUGACCGGCCACAUUGGGCCUGAGAUACGGCCCAGACUCCUACGGGAGGCAGCAGUGGGGAAUAUUGCACAAUGGGCGGGAGCCUGAUGCAGCAACGCCGCGUGCGGGAUGACGGCCUUCGGGUUGUAAACCGCUUUCGCCUGUGACGAAGCGUGAGUGACGGUAAUGGGUAAAGAAGCACCGGCUAACUACGUG
rnacentral:rRNA from 1 species